ACAACAACAUUCGGACCGUCGGUCUACCGAGCAAUAUCAGCCGCUCGGUGGAAGAUCUUCCAUUUGUCGUUAGU
rnacentral:pre_miRNA from 1 species